CAAAAACAUUUUUUAUUCUGUCUUUAUAAAUAUAAUCUGCUCAGUGAACUUUAAACAGCCGCAAAUUUUACUGUGUUAAGGUAGCAUAAUCACUUCCCUUUUAAUUAAAGGUAUGUAUGAAAGAUUGAACAAUUAAAUCUCUUUUUUAUAAAUUUUUAUUAAACCUAAACUAAACAUAAAAAUGUUUUUAUAGAAAAAAUAGACGAUAAGACCCUAUUGAACUUUACUGUAGUUUAGCUGGGGAAGCUAUUUAAAUACAAUUUUAAUUAUUCUCCCCUAAAUAAAACCCUAAUAGAAUUAAUUUAAACAAGUUACCAUAGGGAUAACAGCGUAAUAUAGUUUUAAAGAUCUUAUUAAAAACUAAGCUUACGACCUCGAUGUUGAAUUAGAAUAUCUUAAAAAUGCAAUAAUUUUAAAAGAGGGGCUGUUCGCCCUUUAAAGUUCUACAUGAUCUGAG
rnacentral:rRNA from 1 species